GAAAGUUUGAAUUUUUUUGAUGUUAGUGUUUUUACCCUCAGUGUGUUCUGACUGACAGUGUGUGUUAUCUCAGUGAGGAUUGUUCAUAGUGUAGACGUGUGUUAAGUGUUGU